GCAUUGGUGGUUCAGUGGUAGAAUUCUUGCCUGCCACGUGGGAGACCUGGGUCCCAUUCCUGGCCAAUGCA
rfam:Danio rerio chromosome 4, GRCz11 reference primary assembly.